rnacentral:rRNA from 1 species
GACGAACGCUGGCGGCGUGCUUAACACAUGCAAGUCGAACGGAAAGGCCCUGCUUUUGUGGGGUGCUCGAGUGGCGAACGGGUGAGUAACACGUGAGUAACCUGCCCUUGACUUUGGGAUAACUUCAGGAAACUGGGGCUAAUACCGGAUAGGAGCUCCUGCUGCAUGGUGGGGGUUGGAAAGUUUCGGCGGUUGGGGAUGGACUCGCGGCUUAUCAGCUUGUUGGUGGGGUAGUGGCUUACCAAGGCUUUGACGGGUAGCCGGCCUGAGAGGGUGACCGGGCACAGUGGGACUGAGAUACGGCACAGACUCCUACGGGAGGCAGGAGUGGGGAAUAGUGCACAAUGGGCGGAAGCCUGAUGCAGCAACGCCGCGUGCGGGAUGACGGCCUUCGGGUUGUAAACCGCUUUCGCCUGUGACGAAGCGGGAGUGACGGUAAUGGGUAAAGAAGCACCGGCUAACUACGU